rnacentral:tRNA from 3 species
GCAUCCAUGACUGAAUGGUUAAAGCGCCCAACCUAUACAAGAGGCAAAUUCGUAGGUUCGAUUCCUGCUGGAUGCA